rnacentral:misc_RNA from 1 species
AACGCAUCUUGCGCUCCUUGGUAUUCCGAGGAGCAUGCCUGUUUGAGUGUCAUGAAUCUCUCAACUACAUCAAUCUUUCUGAUUUGGUGUGGCUUUUGGAUGUGGGGGUCUUCUUUUGCUGGCUUCUAUUAAAUGAGGUCAGCUCCCCUGAAAUUUAUUAGUGGUAUCUGAGCAGAGAGACCUACUACAGGUGUGAUAAAUUAUCUACACCUUGGUAAUGCUGCAUGAACAGAUUGUGCUGCUUCUAGUGAAUUAUUUGACAAAUUUGACCUCAAAUCAGGUAGGACUACCCGCUGAACUUAA